rnacentral:rRNA from 1 species
UUCCAGACUCCUACGGGAGGCAGCAGUGAGGAAUAUUGGUCAAUGGCCGAGAGGCUGAACCAGCCAAGUCGCGUGAGGGAAGAAUGUCCUAUGGAUUGUAAACCUCUUUUGUCAGGGAGCAAAGUCACCCACGUGUGGGUGUUGGAGAGUACCUGAAGAAAAAGCAUCGGCUAACUCCGUGCCAGCAGCCGCGGUAAUACGGAGGAUGCGAGCGUUAUCCGGAUUUAUUGGGUUUAAAGGGUGCGUAGGCGGAUCGUUAAGGCGGUGGUCAAAGUGGGGGGCUCACCCCCUUCCCGCCAUUGAAACUGGCGCUCUUGAGUGGAAGAGAAGUAUGCGGAAUGCGUGGUGUAGCGGUGAAAUGCAUAGAUAUCACGCAGAACCCCGAUUGCGAGGGCAGCAUGCCGGCUUCCGACUGACGCUGAAGCACGAAAGCGUGGGGAUCGAACAGGAUUAGAUACCCCCGUAAC